AAAAACAUGUCUUUUUGUGAAAAAAUUUAAAGUCGGGCCUGCCCACUGAAAGAAAUUUGAAGGGCCGCGGUAUUUUGACCGUGCAAAGGUAGCAUAAUCAUUAGUCUUUUAAUUGAAGGCUGGAAUGAAUGGUUUGACGAAGUAUUAACUGUCUCUUUAUAAGAUGUAGAAUUUAACUUUUAAGUUAAAAGGCUUAAAUAAAAAUAAAGGACGAGAAGACCCUAUAGAGUUUUAUAUAAACAAUUAAUAAAUUUAUUUAGAGGGUGAAAUUUUUAUUUAUUGUUUAUAUUAUGUUGGGGUGACAUAAAGAUAUAAGGAACUCUUUAUUACGGAUUACAUAAAUUUAUGAAUAAUUGAUCCAUUAUUAAUGAUUAUAAGAUAAAAUUACCUUAGGGAUAACAGCGUAAUUUUUCUUAAGAGUUCAUAUCGAAAGAAAAGUUUGCGACCUCGAUGUUGGAUUAAGAUAAUGGUUAGGUGUAGCAGCUUAACUAAUAAGUCUGUUCGACUUUUAAAAUCUUACGU
rnacentral:rRNA from 1 species